rfam:Agrilus planipennis Contig47779, whole genome shotgun sequence.
ACAUUACAAGAUAUGAAGUUAAGACAGCCUUCUAGCUGUCAACCCUUACCAAUUUGUGUACCCUUUUUACUUCAGAUUGGCUCAAGAGGACCUUAAUUAGUCCUAGAACGGCCUGAGGUAGAGGGGUUUUAGUCGGUAGGUCCGAGGAGUUGUUUCUCGGGAAUCCGACACUACCCAGUCGUACGGACGGCUGGGUGUCUUUUGAAGAUUUCCUCUCUUCCACGAAA